rnacentral:rRNA from 1 species
UACGAAGGGGGGCUAGCGUUGUUCGGAAUUACUGGGCGUAAAGGGCGCGUAGGCGGCUCGGCAAGUUGGAUGUGAAAGCCCAGGGCUCAACCCUGGAAUUGCAUUCAAGACUGCCUUGCUUGAAUUCGGUAGAGGUUGGUGGAAUUCCCAGUGUAGAGGUGAAAUUCGUAGAGAUUGGGAAGAACACCGGUGGCGAAGGCGGCCAACUGGACCGACAUUGACGCUGAGGCGCGAAAGCGUGGGGAUCAAACAGG